CAUUAUAUGCCCCUCUUAAAGUAAAAUAUUUACGAUUUGAAGCCGGUUUCGGAAGUCUGGCGUGUUUCCAUCCUGAAGAAUAUCUUCUUGGCCUCCUCCUGUAGCUGCACUCUGACUUGUAAACCGAGGUUUGAUUUCAGUGGCUUGCAGAUCAGAGUUGGUACUGCAGUUUGCACCCUGGAGGCUCUCUGGCACAUCUAAGCAGACAGUGAUAGAUUGGUGAGAUUAGAGAGCAGCGUAUCAGACACAGACUCUUUGAUCCAUCGGCCUGAAAGCGCUCGGGCCUUUUCAAACGAGCCUCCGCCAGUGUGUCCCAGAUCACAUUUCAAAGACGGACAAUGUCUACUGAGAAAGAGCCAUUUAGCCCCGCUGCCACUGUAAUGUAAAAACCAGGUAGCUGCCUCUUUCCUUCCUGACACGGAUUCCUCUCUCAGUGCAUCGAAACACAGUGUUUUCUUUAGAGCAGCAGGGUAUUCUAUUCAGGCGCACAGGCCAUGAAAUAUGGUGCGUAUCUGUGUUUGGCUGCGAGCCAGGCGGAGGGUCGGCAUGCCGGCCAGACGGGACGGUGAUGAAUCGCUCAGAUUUCACUUCAGUUGGAAACAGAACUUCACUCUUCUGGAAGACAGUAAAAUGCUUAACGGCCUCCAGAGCUUUGUAGAAACUCUGUCAUAUUGCUGACAUGACAUUGAGGAGCAAGAAGAAGAAACACAAACGACAAUAACAGCAAUGGUGGACGGCUUCAUGUGUUCAGCGUUGCUCUCUCUUUAUUGUCUACUCUGACAGCUUGUUAAACGUGGCUAUCUGCCACAUUUCUCUACUGAAACUGUUGGAAUCUGCUCGCAAUAAACUAAACGUCAGGAA